rnacentral:rRNA from 1 species
AGUGAACGCUGGCGGUAGGCCUAACACAUGCAAGUCGAACGGCAGCACAGUAAGAGCUUGCUCUUACGGGUGGCGAGUGGCGGACGGGUGAGGAAUACAUCGGAAUCUACUUUUUCAUGGGGGAUAACGUAGGGAAACUUACGCUAAUACCGCAUACGACCUACGGGUGAAAGCAGGGGAUCUUCGGACCUUGCGCGAUUGCAUGAGCCGAUGUCGGAUUAGCUAGUUGGCGGGGUAAAGGCCCACCAAGGCGACGAUCCGUAGCUGGUCUGAGAGGAUGAUCGGCCACACUGGAACUGAGACACGGUCCAGACUCCUACGGGAGGCAGCAGUGGGGAAUAUUGGACAAAGGGCGAAAGCCUGAUCCAGCAAUGCCGCGUGGGUGAAGAAGGCCUUCGGGUUGUAAAGCCCUUUUGUUGGGAAAGAAAAGCAGGAGGUUAAUACGCCGGUGUGCUGACGGUACCCAAAGAAUAAGCACCGGCUAACUUCGUG